UACGGAGGGUGCAAGCGUUAUCCGGAUUCACUGGGUUUAAAGGGUGCGUAGGUGGGCAGGUAAGUCAGUGGUGAAAUCUCCGAGCUUAACUCGGAAACUGCCGUUGAUACUAUUUGUCUUGAAUAUUGUGGAGGUAAGCGGAAUAUGUCAUGUAGCGGUGAAAUGCUUAGAUAUGACAUAGAACAUCGAUUGCGAAGGCAGCUCGCUACACUAUGAUUGACACUGAGGCACGAAAGCGUGGGGAUCAAACAGG
rnacentral:rRNA from 1 species